rnacentral:tRNA from 1 species
GGCAACUUGCCUGAGUGGUUAAAGGGUAUGACUCGAAUGAAUCUGUUCAUCUCCGAUAUCAUAUGGCUUCGGCCGCGUAGGUUCGAGUCCUGCAGUUGUCG